GUGAUAUGGAGCAAAACCCUAAAAAACGGUACUCAGUUCGGAUUGAAGGCUGAAAUUCGCCUUCAUGAAGCUGGAAUUGCUAGUAAUCGUGGAUCAGCAUGCCACGGUGAAUACGUUCCCGGGUCUUGUACACACCGCCCGUCACACCAUGGGAGCUGGUAACACCCGAAGUCAGUAGUCUAACCGCAAGGAGGACGCUGCCGAAGGUGGGAUUAGCGACUGGGGUGAAGUCGUAACAAGGUACC
rnacentral:rRNA from 1 species